rnacentral:rRNA from 1 species
AGAGUUUGAUCCUGGCUCAGGACGAACGCUGGCGGCGUGCCUAAUACAUGCAAGUCGAACGGAUCAGGAUGAGAAGCUUGCUUUUCAUCGUGGUUAGUGGCGGACGGGUGAGUAACACGUAGGCAACCUGCCCUUAAGAUCGGGAUAACAUUCGGAAACGAAUGCUAAGACCGGAUAAACAAUUCGGCCGCAUGGCUGAG